AGCAGUCGCCGCGGUAAUACGAAGGGGGCUAGUGUUGCUCGGAAUCACUGGGCGUAAAGGGUGCGUAGGCGGGUUUCUAAGUCAGGGGUGAAAUCCUGGAGCUCAACUCCAGAACUGCCCUUGAUACUGGAAGUCUUGAGUAUGGGAGAGGUGAGUGGAACUGCGAGUGUAGAGGUGAAAUUCGUAGAUAUUCGCAAGAACACCAGUGGCGAAGGCGGCUCACUGGCCCAUAACUGACGCUGAGGCACGAAAGCGUGGGGAGCAAACAGGAUUAGAUACCCCGGUAGUCCCUGUCUCUUAUAC
rnacentral:rRNA from 1 species